rnacentral:rRNA from 1 species
CUACGGGUUGCACCAGUGAGGAAUAUUGGUCAAUGGACGUAAGUCUGAACCAGCCAAGUAGCGUGAAGGAUGACUGCCCUCUGGGUUAUAAACUUCUUUUAUACGGGAAUAAAGUUCGCCACGUGUGGUGUUUUGUAUGUACCGUUAUGAAUAAGCAUCGGCUAAUUCCGUGCCAGCAGCCGCGGUAAUACGGAGGAUGCGAGCGUUAUCCGGAUUUAUUGGGUUUAAAGGGAGCGUAGGUGGAACAAUAAGUCAGCCUGUGAAAGUUUGCGGCUCAACCGUAAAAUUGCAGUUGAUACGUUGUUCUUGAGUGUAGUAGAGGUUAGCGGAAUUCGUGGUGUAGCGGUGAAAUGCUUAGAUAUCACGAAGAACUCCAAUUGCGUAGGCAGCUAACUAGGCUAUAACUGACACUGAGGCUCGAAAGUGUGGGUAUCAAACAGGAUUAGAUACCCGAGUAGUC